rnacentral:rRNA from 1 species
AUUGAACGCUGGCGGCAGGCUUAACACAUGCAAGUCGAACGGAACCUUCGGGUUUAGUGGCGAACGGGUGAGUAAUACCUAGGAAUCUGCCUAUUAGUGGGGGAUAACGGCUCGAAAGGGUCGCUAAUACCGCAUACGUCCUACGGGAGAAAGAGGGGGAUCUUCGGACCUCUUGCUAAUAGAUGAGCCUAGGCCGGAUUAGCUAGUUGGUAGGGUAAAGGCCUACCAAGGCGACGAUCCGUAGCUGGUCUGAGAGGAUGAUCAGCCACACUGGAACUGAGACACGGUCCAGACUCCUACGGGAGGCAGCAGUGGGGAAUAUUGGACAAUGGGCGCAAGCCUGAUCCAGCCAUGCCGCGUGUGUGAAGAAGGCCUUCGGGUUGUAAAGCACUUUAAGCGAGGAGGAAGGUCUUUGAACUAAUAUUUCAAAGAAUUGACGUUACUCGCAGAAUAAGCACCGGCUAACUCUGUGCCAGCAGCCGCGGUAAUACAGAGGGUGCAAGCGUUAAU